UGCGGGAAACCGUGACAGGGGGAUCCCAAGUGCUCAUGCAUUGCAUGGGCUGUUCUUUGGUCUAAGUAACCAGAGGAGUAAGGGCUGGGCAAGACCGGUGCCAGCCGCCGCGGUAAUACCGGCAGCUCGAGUGGUAGCCGCGAUUAUUGGGCCUAAAGCGUUCGUAGCCGGAUAAGUAAGUCUUUGGUUAAAUCCUGCGACUUAACCGUGGGAAAUCUAGAGAUACUGCUUGUCUUGAGACCGGGAGAGGUUGGAGGUACUCCUAGGGUAGGGGUGAAAUCCUGUAAUCCUAGGGGGACCACCUGUGGCGAAGGCGUCCAACUGGAACGGGUCUGACGGUGAGGGACGAAACCUAGGGGAGCGAGCCGGAUUAGAUACCCGGGUAGUCCUAGGCGUAAAUGAUGCGAGUUAAGUGUGGGGGCAUCUACGAGAUGGCCCUGUGCUGUAGGGUAGCCGUUAAACUUGCCGCCUGGGGAGUACGGUCGCAAGGCUGAAACUUAAAGGAAUUGGCGGGGGAGCAC
rnacentral:rRNA from 1 species